CGGGGCGUAGCGCAGGUUGGUAGCGCACAUGGUUUGGGACCAUGGGGUCGGAGGUUCAAAUCCUCUCGCCCCGA
rnacentral:tRNA from 1 species